CAUUUGUUUUUAGGGCAUGCAAACAUGAAGGCAUAAAACCACUCAGACGAGGGUAAGUUACCGUAUGGAAGCAGCACAGAACCUUCCAUUUUGCACUACAUCCAGCUGUUGUCAAGAGGUCACAAUCUCACGGUUCAUGAGUUUGAGCCCUGCAUUGGGUAAGCUUGAGCCCUACCUCUGGUGCCUCUUCAAGGUGAACUCCCACAAGGGCUGCUGGGUCAGAAGAUGUGUGCAUAUGCAGCCCCAUUAGACACGUCAAGUCCCCUCCAGAAGGGCUGUGACAGGUUGCAAUCUGACCAGCGCUGUACAGGUGACUAACGGAGCUCCAGGUGAUACUGUGUCCAGCGAGACCACACCGGAACCAGAACCUGAGUAUUAUUAUGAAUCAGGGCAACAUCACAAAAGGAGUUGUUUUCAAAGGAGUAUGAUGUAGAAAGACAGUGUGACAUAAGGCUUCCAGCCGUGCGGCAGGCGAUACGACACGUGAGAAGAUGGUGUGGCCAUUCCAAGGUAGCAAACAUUACGCAAACAAGAUUUCAUUCUGUUUCUGAGAAGGUCAAGAUGCAAAGUGGGUCUCUGUUCUUACUCUACAAAGAAUUCCUGGAGGCUCUUCCCAACUUUGCACAAA